AGAGAUUGGAGAGCUGAAAGGAUUUGAAGAAAGAAAAAUCUGCAAAAAUUGAAAAUGGCUGAAGUCCUUUUUUUUUCAAAAAUACUGGAAUUGUUAAGUUUUCUGCUUGAUUUCCAGUUUUAAUCCCCUUGUGAGAAGUCAGAUUUGAAAGGAUUCAGCAGAAAUGGUGUAUCUGGAUUUUUGAACAUCGGAAUUUAGGUUUGAAAAUCUGAGGCUUGACUUGUUGAUUCUGUUACUGUUUUAUUGCUGGGCUAACUUAAUUUCUGUUGCUGCGUUUUGCUGAUUCUUCACCUCUUUUAUUUUCCUUGUUCAUUACCAGGUAUUACUUCAAAUCAUUGUCAACGAGUGACUAAGAACAUGUACUUCGAGUUGAGGCCAGAUUGAAUACAAGUUAUUUUGUUUUUUCUGGAUUUUCCUUCAUUCUCUUCUUCUACUUCUUUGAAUGAUCUGUAAUAGAUCUUAUAUUAUACAUGCUAGCCUAAUUGAUGUGCUGUAGAAAUGAGUCUGUGCCCUUUAAAAGUUCCUCAUUUGUAUGAUGUCUUAAUAGCUUGAUUCCCUGUGUCUUUUGCUUAAUCUCUGAUUUAGGCAGUCGAGUUUGUAUGCCUAUGUUUGAUUUGGGACUGUUAGGGAUAGAGAAACAUAUGGUUUGUGUUGGUUAUGCUAUCAGUUUUUUUAUUUGUUUCUAUUGAGAGUCAGUGUGACGAUUUCAUAUGGAAUUUGCAAAAAGACAAGUGUAAUUUUCUAUUUGAAGGGAAUUGUGAUGUGAUUUAAGGUUUGCUUGUUAAGUGUUGAUUGGAGGAAAAGGUCUAACUUGUGAUAUAUAGAUCCAUGUUAAGAAUAGUUUAAUUUACCCAUUAGUCUUGCUUAAAAGUUUCGGGCAGGAAUCAAUUCACUGUUUAAUGUCCUGUGAAAUGAGUGUUUGAAUCUUGUAGUCUUGAAGUCUGUUCUAUCGUAAGGAAAGAGUUCAGGGACAUAGUGUGAGGGACUGCAUAUUAAUCUGUAAAAACUUUCAAAAUUGAGUAAUCUCAGAGGUUGAAUAUUAUUAGGUGUGGAGUAAUGUAUGCACUUGAAAUUAACCAUUUGUUUAAGGCUAGUUGGAAUGAGAUUUAGUUAUUGGAAGGAGAUGUUGUGUUUGUUUGCCAGAGUCUAAAUGAAUAUGUUUGGGUUCUCAUGACCUUAAAGAGUGCUGCCAUCUUGGGAGGG
rnacentral:lncRNA from 1 species